rnacentral:rRNA from 1 species
CAAAACUCAAAAACUUAGUNUCAGUUCGGAUUGUAGGCUGAAACUCGCCUACAUGAAGCUGGAGUUGCUAGUAAUCGCGAAUCAGCAUGUCGCGGUGAAUACGUUCCCGGGCCUUGUACACACCGCCCGUCACACCAUGAGAGUUGGCAAUACCCAACGUACGUGAUCUAACCCGCAAGGGAGGAAGCGUCCUAAGGUAGGGUCAGCGAUUGGGGUGAAGUCGUAACAAGGUAAC